GUCCCUUCGGGGACAUCCGAUAAAAUUGGAACGAUACAGAGAAGAUUAGCAUGGCCCCUGCGCAAGGAUGACACGCAUACUUACGAGAGAGAAAACGAAAAA